rnacentral:lncRNA from 1 species
CUUGAUGUAUUUCACUGGGCAAUGAUAAAGAUACAAAACAAAUUAAAAUAGGACUGAACGAACUUUACAAUAAAUACUCCAAUUUACAUAAAAGCGAUGUUCAGUUUAUUAAUCACCACACAAUCACAAAUUGCACACUUACAAAGUAAAACAAAUAUAAAGCUAGCCACAAAUGUUUAAAUCAUUGUGCCAAAUACAGAUGUAAAAACCAUGAUGCACAAAAGCCUUGCAUCAGUUCUCUUUCUUUCACUUAAUUUCUAGGAGGUGGAGGAGCACCACCAAGGAGAGGGAAGGGGAAGGUGGGAAGUGGACAUGGAGGAAGUCCAGGAAUUUGUAGCCUCGGAAAAGGGGGAAUAUUAAACGGAAAAGAAGGUGAGGAAGGGCCUUCUGAAGUUUGAGUAACAUGAGCAACUGCAUCAUUUUCUUUAGGCUCCAUCACCUUUGCUGCAUGUCCAGCAUUUUCUUCGGGUUUUUCGGUAAGUUGACGGGCCUCAGACGUGCCUAUGAGGGCUGUGGCCACCAGAAAACUCAACAGAAAGAUGGCUUUCAGCAUUGUAGAUGAGCACUGAGAAGCCAUUUGUGUGGAAGAGAAAGAACUAAGAAGUAAGAAGAGAGAGACUUGAG